GGGGUUGCAGCAGGCGUGAAAACUGUACAAUCCGGGAAACCGUGAUAAGGGGACACCGAGUGCCAGCAUUAUCUUAUGGCAGUCCAGGUGUUUAAAAUACACCUGUCAGCAAGGGCCGGGCAAGACCGGUUCCGACUGCCGCGGUAACACAUGCGGCUCGAGUGGUUAUCGUUAUUACCGGGUCAUAAGGGUCCGUAGCCGGAGAGGUCAGUCCUCCGGGAAAUCCGACGGGUCAACCAUGAGGUCAUCCGGGGACAUGAACUGCCUCUGAACUGGGAGAGUUUAGAGGUAAUACAGGGUUUGGGAAGAAAUCUAGUAAUCCCAGCGAGGCCUCCCGAGGCGAAGGUGUCUCACCAGAACGGAUUCGUUCGGGAGGGACGAAAGGUGGGCGCACGAACCGGAUGAGAUACCCGGGUAGUCCCAGCCGUUAACGAUGCUCGCUAGGUGUCAGGCAUGGCGCGACCGUGUCUGGUGCCGCAGGGAAGCCGUGAAGCGAGCCACCUGGGAAGUACGGCCGCAAGCCUGAAACUUAAAGGAAUCGGCGGGCGCCCACAAG
rnacentral:rRNA from 1 species